UUGCCUACUGAGGCCAGAAGAGGGUGUCUGAUACUCGAGCUGGAGUUAGGUUGGUUGUGAGCCACCUCAGCGAGAUACUGGGAAUAGAACAUGCAUCCUCUCUGACAGCAGCCAGUGCUCUUAACUUGCUGAGCCAUCUCUCUAGUCCUUAAGAGAGGAAUUUUUAACUUCUUUACACUUUCAUGAAAACUUUCUGAGAUAAUUUUAGACUCAUAGAAAAUGUUACGUCCCAUGGACCAUCCACUCAGCUUCUCGUGGUGAUUACAUCAUCAUAACUAUGCAGAAUACAAGAAGUAGGUUACUGAUUUUGAUAAGACAGCAACUAUGAAACACACAGACCAGUCAGACCUUACUCUCGGGCACACUGACACACGCAUGUGUUUGAUGGACAAGACUCAAGGUACCGCCACCAAGCCCAAGAGUGCAGAACUUCCCCCAUCCAUCAAAAGCCACAUCAUGCCAUUCCUUUCUAGCUGAGCCCUGUCUACCAUUAGCCCAGGCAACUACCAAACAGAAACCCCUCUAUUAAUCUGUCACUGUGAGAGUGUUAUGGGACGUGGAGCACAUAGUAGGUCACUUGUGAGACCAGCUUUUCCCACACAGUCUAAUGUUCUUCUGAUCCAUGCAGGCUAUGGCAAAUAGCAACUGGUUCUUUCUCCUUAUUUUAAACUAGUAUUCUGCUGUAGAGAUGUGUCUCACAAUCACAGUUCCUGUGGAUAAACCUGUGAGUGUGCACAGAAACUCUCAUUUCUCUGGGCUGAAUACAGUAACUUCCCCACAAUGAUGGCGGGUGCAUGUUCAGAUUUAUAAGGCAUCAUGAGACUAAAAAUCCAGGGGGUCUCCAGGGUCACUGUAUCAUCUGACUCUGUAAUUAGUUGUGAAUACAAACCCUAGUUGCUCCAAAGUUUCCCAGCAGAUCUUUGGUUUCCAUUGUCCUUAGCUAGGAACGGCUAGGACUCUAGGAGAUUUGAACCCUGAGGGGCCUCAGAGUUGAUGCAGUCCAGCCUGAGGCUGUAGAGGAAACCACCGGGAUGCCAAGAAGGGGCCUGGCCGAUGACUCCCCUGCACCUCUUUUGCUAUUUUUACCGUCUUUUCUCCCUGCCCAGAGGCAGGCAGAGCUGCAGUCUCUGCGGUCUUGUCAAAGGUCAGACGGGACCUAAGUGCCUCUCAAAGACUCAAAAAAGUCUUGCCCAGGGGAUUUGACCUCGUGCUUUGUGGUCUUAUAGGAGUCAGGCUGCAGUCACAUGUUCAGACCCGAGUCAGCCUCUGACCUUAAAUCCAUACUGUGUCAUCUGCUCUCGGGGAACUACUAAUGGUCCAAGGUUCACAUUCCAUCAGAAUUUACAGCCUGCAACCGUCUGUCUCAAGUUCACCCAGGUCUGUCUGCCUGCCUGCCUGUCUGUCAGAGGUUCACCCAGGUCUGUCUGUCUGCCUGUCUGUCCAUCCAUCUGCCCGUCCGUCUUUCUGUCUGUCCUGUCAACACUUCUUGCCAGUGCUCAGCUCCUCCAGUCUCUGAGUGUCUAUAGAAUGCCAGGCACUUUAGAAGGCUCUGGCCCAUGCUGUCUCUGCAGUUAGGGUCAGAGAAUGGCACUUGACAGAUAAGAAAGAAAUAGCCUUGAAAUCAGAAUCGCUGGGAAUUCCUGACCCCAUGCCUCAGGGGAAGUCUGGUCUAGGUCAUUCCUUCCUAUGGCUCCUGAGCACAAAAUCUGUGACCUGUGGUCUCUGUGACUCAAACAGCAGCUUUCCUUCAUUUCUGAGUUUAGAAAUUUGAGUGUCUGUCACCAGGGGGUGCCAGAGAAGCGACUUAGACAGACAGGCCAAGAACCUUCUUGCUGAUUGUGCUUUCUGUGUCCAAGUUUUGGGUUUAGUUCCAGCAUUUCUGGUGCAUCAAGCUCCUUAUCAAAAUAGCAGACGUCCCUGCUUCACUAAGGAUCGCAGAUGCCAUCUUUCUGAAAGGGGCACGAAUCAAAAAAGUAAAGAAAGCUAACAACACAGGAGUUUUCCCAGCUAGUUCAGAUGCUCCUGGGACAUAGAAAAUGUCCCAAAGCCACACUCAUUUUGAGUGACCUAAAAGCCAUUCAGUUCUCCGUGCAGAAGAAGUUAAGUCAACCAUAGCUUUAUUCAAUGUCAGGUUUGUUUGAUCGACUUUGAAGGGCCACCAUGAUUUUGUUCUGAGUGUCAGCGCACAGUUCCUCAUGACUUACUUACUAAUGUCUUCUGUGUGGACAGAGAAUGUGUACUCCUUCCGUCUCCAGGACCGUAAUGUGGGGCAGAAACGGUGGUUUGUGGGUUCCUGGUGGGCAAUAUCUCAUGAUUCUUUUUCCUGAUUUGGAAGCUUGCUGUAUAGGGACUUUUGUCUGUAGUCUUCGGAUUGCAGAUGCUGGGAUCAAUAUCAAUGUUUGCCUGGGAACUUUUAUACAAGGGCUCCUGAUGAGUCCUUGGCCCCAUCCCUCACCAUAUGUCUUAGCUCAAAGCUCUUAGCUUUAAGUCCAAGGAAAACACCUGUGUCGAUUGAAGGCUAACGGGUUAAGAUUCAGCUUCAGUCUCUGUGGUGGGUUUCAAGUCGAAAUGGAUCUUAGCCUCAGAUCUGCCCUUCCUCUCUCCCUCCAUCCCUCCCUCCCUCCCUCCCAGCAAAGCUAUCAGUAAAACUCAUCCUCCUUUGCGUCCAAAACCCAUCUAAGGGACUCUUAAUCUGGCCACUUUCCACCACAGUGUUUCGAAACCAACACAUUGUGUCUUGUUCUUCCAAGGCUCACAAAGCAUCUAAUUUGAAGAUGUCUCUUCAUGGCUAUCAAAAGAGUGGCCCUCUUCUUCACGAUGCCACCAAUGUCAUUAUGCAAGGGUUUGCAGCCUUGAAGGCUAGGAAAGCUCCUUAGAGGGAGUAGAAAGGAGGCCAACACAAGAUGUCAUAAUGUCCCCAAGUCUUGGCUCUGAUCGGGAGAUCAGUGUCCAAAGAUUUUUGGAAGCUGCCUCAACCUCCAAGCUUUCUUGCCACCCUUCUGGGGAUCACAACUGCCAUUGCUCUGUUUUCCCGGGAUCUCUGUGCCUGUUUACAGGAAGCCUUCGCUCGGGAAUAGUCGCAUGUUUGCACCAGACCCCCAGACUUGAAGAAGAUGAAGUUGUGGUGGCUGGGGUGGAGAAAAAGAAUUUGUUGAGGGAUUGUACUCCAUUCCCAAAUAAGUUCUGUCUGUCUGUCUCUCUCUCUCUCUCCCAGCCAGACUCUCUAUAAAAGGGAAAACUGGACACCGGGCGGUGGGGAAGGAAGGGAGCGGGUGCUGGCAAUUCUCCAUGAAACGCGGACACCGCACUGUUUACAAAUUCCUGCAGCCAGCCCUGGAAUCCAGAUGCAGACAACUCUGUUUAUGUAACAAAAAUAGACCCCAAUACCGUGUGACUGGAGGUCGGGUCCCCCAUGAGGAGACAUUUGCUGCAGAUGAAGUCAGAGGGGACAUAUUCCCUGGGGCUCCUGAGCAGGAAGACGGCAGCUUCCCCAUCACACAUUGACAUCCCUGGGGAAAGCAGCCUUGUUAUCCUACCUGAACCAACAGGAGACAAAGCCAGCGGAGAGGCUUGCCCAUUGGGAUCUCAGUCAUGUGGAAGAUGCUGAGCGAGCCUGGCAGAGCCACUGAAACCUCCAUAAACAAUAAAAAGAUGCCCAGGGCCUUCAAGCCUGUGUGGGGUAGGACCACUCAUGGAAAAGUCAGACACUGGCCUCCUCCACUGGCCAUAAUGAGGACCAGGUGACGAUGGAUGGAUGCGAUCACACUGGGUUCGUUGAGUCUGAGAAUUCUGCUGAGCCUGGAAUGAACCCAUCUACAAACAAGCGAGUCUGUCUGUGGGGGAGCUGGAAGGAAUGGGGUGUGGAGAAGGCUGUGGGGUAGUGUGUGCCAUCGAUUACUUGUGGCUUGCAGAGAGCCGAGGAAGCCUGGACGUACAGCUUCUGAGCAUCUGGAGAAGUCUUUGGACAGCAUCUGAGGUCCUCUGGAUGAAUUGAGGUCAUUCAAACCAGCCAAGCCAGGCCAGAUGGAGGCUGGAGUGUGCAGUGUGCAAAUGGCUCGUGGCUCGUCUCAGCUAUCCUGCUUCUUGCCUGAGUUCUUGGUGGUCCGUUCCUUCCAUCCACCUCACACCGGCUUAGGGUCUAUCCUCCCCUUCUAGAUACACUGCAGAAAAGGAUCCAACCCAACUCUUCAUUCGUGGCUGCAGAGAUGGUUCAGCGGGUCAGAUACUUGCCACAAAAGGCUGGGGACCGGAGCUUGAGACCCAGAUCCCAUAUAAAACUCAGAACAUGAUAGUGUGUGCUCCUCAUCUAGUACUAGGGAGACUGUUGGAUUCCGAGGGCUCUCCAGGCAGCCAGCCUCACCUAAAGACUGAGCUCCACAUUCCAGUGAUAGGCUUUGGCUGAAAAAUCAGGUGGGCUGAGUUCCUGAGGAACAACACGCUAGGAUGUCCCUCCAGUUCCCACCCUUAUGCACAUGCAUGCCCAUGUGUACACGUGAACCCACAUGUACCACAUACACACACAAACACACAGAAACACACACACACACACACACACACACAUACAACACACAGAGUUCAUAUUUGCAUUUUAAUAGGAGGGGAUGGCUUCCGAUAGAGUUCUUGCUAUGGAAAUGGAAUAAUGAGGGAAACAGGAAUCACAGUGCUAUGUGCGAACUGCUUAAAGGAAGCAUUUGGAGGUGGGUCUUGUUUGACCUGCUCUGCCUCUGUCUCUUCCUAGGGCUUUGGCCUCCAUGUGUUGGUCUCAGAUUCCCAGUUUGUAUUAGGUGAAAUACAGCUAAGAUAGUCGUGACACACCUUCAGUCUUGACUAGUAUGGAGUGCAGGUCAAUGAGAAAGCUUCGGUCCCAAGAACAGGGACCUGUUGGGCCCUGGGGACAACAUGCUCAUCACAAGCUAUUGAUCUUAGCUUGCCAUUGGAGGCAUGGUAGAAAUAAAUUGAUAACUUGAUGGUUCACAGCUUCCCCUGUGCCCUUCAGGGGACCACCGGGAAAACAGACUACCCUGCCCAAGCUCCCUGAGUCCCAAAGAGAGCUCUGAUGCCUUCCGAGGUCCCCUGUUGUCAUAACAGAAGUACAGUCUACAGCACCUCUCUUCCAACAUCACCUAGAACUUGUACCAAAAAGGUGCUUCAUAAACCCCAUGGACCAAUCUUGGAAGUUUAGGCCACAAAUGUAUACUCCUUAUUUUGCAUUUAAAAAUAAUGCAAAAAUAAUAUUAAAAUAAUAGUCAUCGGUUUUGUGGAUUUGAGGUUUCAUCCAUGUGAGAUAUAUUUGAGUGUCCAGGAGUAAACUUUUUAAAAAGUCACUUUUUAUAGCAAAUGAAGACUUUUCAAAUAUCACCUAACAAAAGGCCUCUUUGAAGUUGGGUGGGCAGAACACAGCCACAAUGGGUACCCUGCUUACUUGCUACAAAUGGCUUAUUUUGCUACAAAAUGAAUGGAGAAGAGAAGACUUCAGAGAUCUCAGCCUCAGAAAGAAUUCAAGGAACCUCAGAGCCAUCCCACAGGCCCCACCUCAACUAUGCACUGUGGAAAGAUGUUGUGCUUGGCGUAGUUCCCCAUUGGCUCCGGCUUGGCCCUGGUGUGGGCUGGACGGUGACUUGGGCUCUCGGUGUGCUCCUGUUUUAGAUCUUAGAGUAAAGGAGACCAGUUCAUGAGUAUUCAAGAGUUCAGGCAACAGAGGAAGGGAAUAUAGGAAGGGAGGAAAAGAUAGGUUUUCUCUAUUCAUAACUUUUUAACCCCCAUAACCUCCCCACUCCUUUGUACACACAUAAACACAUACCUGCAUAUGCAUACAUACAUGCACGCACAUACAUACACACAUGCCAUACAUACUCACUCAUUUGUAUAUACAUAAACACACAUGUGCUAUAAGCAAACACAUUCACUUGUACACACAUAAACACACAUACAUACACAUACAUAACACACACACACACACACAUACACACACACACACACACAUACAUCAAGGUCUGGAUUGCAAAAUGUGUCUUCCCUGAUUCUGAGAGGGGGUCUCACUAGGUUCAGUGUCCCAUCCCCACUCCUGUUUUCCACCUUGCUCUUAGGAACUUAACUGCGCUUUCCUCAUCUCUCUGUGUCAACGCCUUAAUUCCUGAUCCAUUGGAAGGUGGCUGCAGUAGAGACAGGGCCUACGGAGAGGUGGUUCUUGUCAGUGAGAUAGUUAGGUAGGCUCUGAUGCAGUGAGAAUGGCGGCUCUGUAUGAGGAACAGUGGCUACUGCAUCAGUCAGGGUCCUCCACAGAAGCAGAGCCACAGCACGCACAGGCAAUGCAGGGGGAGUCAUUGGGUUGCUUCACACAGUGCAGCCCUGAAAUGGCUGUGCACUGGAGGCUGAGCCCCCUGGUGGCUGUUAAUUAACCAACUUGGAUGUCUCAACAGUCUUCUGCACCUUGUGCUGAAGGCCUAGAAGGUUCCUGAAGAGCUGCUCAUCUUCAGUCUUCCUUGGAAAGAUCUCUCUGGGCCACCACCAUGUGGUGCUGUGUGCUCUGUGGGAGGAUUUUCCCCUUCAGUUUAUCUUUCUAAGAAAUCCCUCACAGUCCCUGCCCAGGUGAGUAUUUCUUAUUUAGUCAUUGAUUCAGUCAAGAUUAACCAGCAUGGCUACUUAGAGAGACAGGCAGGAGG
rnacentral:sRNA from 1 species